rnacentral:piRNA from 1 species
UACCUGCAAAUUUGAUGAAUUCUGAUGGCUU